GGGGACAUUUGGGUUUACGAGGACAGAGGCCAUGUCCUCAUAAUUCCGACAGUGUAAACGCCAUCUACGAUGUCCCAGAUGCUCCCUCUCAAAGUUUGGCGCCAUGUCUUUAUAUACCACAAAACCCUGAAAUUUUACCAUACACAGUGUAUCCCUGAUUUCGCGAGUGUCGCCCCUGUAGCCAGGUCCCGGUAUUACACCCGCGUCAUCAAAAAUUUGCAUGUUUUACACAAGUGUAUGCUUCGAGGCCUGUGAUUGGACAGAUCGGUACCGGUAGGCGGGAAAUUGCGAAAACACAAUGGCGCCGGUGGGCGGAGCUUCAUUCAGCGUCAGCAUAGUCUUUAUAACAAGCAACUUAAUGCAAAAUAAUUAUUAUUUAAGUAUUUUUGCCUGUAAUUUAUUAAUUGUGGAUUAAUUGUAUGAUAAAUAAAUAAAUAAAACCCUGUUUAUAUUAUGAUAAGUUAGACGUAACUUAAUCAGGUCACGGUCGUCACGGUCACUUCCUGUUUGAACGAGAGACAAACUCUGGACCUGAAAGGACCGAAAGGACAUAUCUGGACCCGAUGAAAGCAACUGUUAUGUGUUAGAUGAGCCAUAAGACCCAGUUGUCCUCAGGCAGUGAUGAUUAUGUGCUCUGACUCUGGGACUGCACGAGACUCCCAGUGAGGUUGAUUGCUCCACUCUCGAAAUCAACACUCGAAAUCAAGUCGGAGAUGAACAGAAGAUGAGCCCUGAGAAGGACCAUAUCAGAUCAUCAUUGGAGGGUCAAGAGUCAAGACUGUGUUGACAUGAUGAGAUCAGUGUGACGGAUUCUGCUGCCAGUGAUCCUGAUGGAAGCGGUUCUGGAGGAGAUGUUGCUGCUGGAGCUGCAGCGUCUCUAGUUAUGUUGGUGUUCAGAAGAUGCCCAUCGAGAAAACCACUGACGUGCCUCAAGGUACCCGAGGUUUAAAUUAGAAUAUGACCAUCUAGUAAGCUUUAUCUAUGAGAGCUCAUGUACUUACAAAGCAUGUUGUAUUCUGUACAGAGAAUGAGAGUGAGGAAGAAAUUGAAAACCUUGUGGAAAGGACAAAAAGUGUGCUGGUCAAAUGCUGAAGUUACAGCUGCAAUUAAACAUGUUAAGGCACAUAUAACCAAAGGAAAACUGGCCACACUGACUGAAUGGCAGAAGUGUAAGACCACUGAAGACCCUUUCCGUGGAGUUUCAAUCUCUACCUCACUCUCAUUCUCAGCGCAGGAGAAUACAUGCUUUAGUAAGCUCUAAACACACGGGAGCUCAUGUACUUACAAUGAUAGUUAUAUUGACACUAGACGCUUCUAGAGCUGAUGUACAACCCAAGCAAACUUUGUUAAAUAAUUUUCCUGUAAAUCUGCUUUGAAACUUGACUUGACAAUUCUGUUUAUAUUUUCUGGAAAUAACAGAGGUAAACCGUCCGUUGUAAUUUGUUUUGUUUUGCAAAUGUAUAUAUCGCGAUAUGCAUAUCGCGACGGCUUGCAAUAGCUGGGGUCAUGAACAAAAGAAAAUCACUCACUGCUGUUUGCUGAAUAACUGUAUAUAUGUAAAUAAUACAGUGAAAACUAAGCAGUGUUUUAUUUUUACAUUUGAUUAUUCAGUUUCUGUUGUUAAAUAAUCCUAAUGUAGGAUAAUCUGAACCCUGUGCUUUAGCAUAAGAAGUAUUAUUUUAAUAUCAGUGUACAGUAAAACACUGAUGUUCACUUUCAGAAGCUGAUGUUUUCUUGUCACAAAAAGAAUGUGAAACAGUUAUGUAAGGUUAAAUAAUAGAUAAUUUAAGUUUGUUUUACACACUUUAAACAUUACUCUAUCGAAUAUCGCAGUAUUUAAUGAGUUAACGCAUAUCGCUUUUUUCUUCAGUACUGUGCAGCACUAAGCAGCAUCUAUUGUAUGUUGAGUGAGUUAAUUUUAUACAUUUCAAAGCCUGUUUAAUGACAUCUUUAAAAUGUGUCUGCUUCAAAGGGCUGUUUUGUCAAUCAUUGACCAUGUUUUUAAGUUUGUGGAUGUGACUUUACACUUAAAAUGGCAUGACAUGAUGGAAUUACAUGGUAAAACUGAAAAAAAACUCAAUGUUUAUGAUGAUAUUAUUGAAGUCAUAAUUAAAGCACUUGUAAAACA